CUGCAGUUUUCCUAUCCAGGUGCUGUGGUGUGCCUAGAAAGAACUUAACUGUUUGCAGUGGAAUUUACUGUAUAAUCCAUUUUUCAGAUUAUUGAUGGCAGAAGUGUUCAGGGAAGUUCAUUACUUCACAUCCAAAAGGAGAGUUCCUCUUGCAGGUAGAGAAAUAGAUAGCUGCAUUUGUGCAAGAGAACAGGGAUGACACAAAGGACCUUCUCCAGUUUUUAGUGAUUACAUCCUUAGACUCCAGUUCAUGAAGCUUUGCUUCCUCGUGUGCUGUCUUGUUGCUGAAUGACUUUGGGCAAAUAGACAAUAGCAGAGUAAAGCCUUGCAGUCAGUCUCUUACCCCUAGGAAUGGUCCAGCACAGCCCAAAGAGAGCAUCAGAGGAGGAAUCGCUUUGUGCCACAGAAGCAAAGUAGAAAGUUUUUAGAAGGAGAGUGGGAUAUCAACCAAUAUCAAAGGUAUUAUGUAAGUUGAGGCCGCUGGUUUUGGUAUUUUAACUGUUGUGGGUGACUUUUUAAAGACCAGAAACCAGUUCACAGAGGGUUGAGGAAUAAAUGAAAAAUUGGGAAAUGAAAGUGGUAAUGAUUGCUUUUUUGAGACACUUGAUGAUUAAGAAUGAAAAAUGUUGGAACUUAACAAGGAAAUAGCAUCAAGGGAAGGAAGAGUUUGUUGUUGCUUUAGGGUAGGAGUGGCUUAAAUGUGCUUACUGGCUGAUAGGGAAGCAGAUGUGAAGAGCUCUUUCAUCCUACUUUUACUCAUCAAAUGUAGAAUACAAGAAAUGUCUGUAAAUCACCAAAUAUAUAUCGAGUGCCUACUCUACUUGCCCUGAGUCUCAGUUAAUAUGCACAGUAUUAUUUGUGCAAUCUGAUUGAGUAAUCUGUGAAGGGCUCUGGUGUUUAUAGGAUUAAGCCCAUCAUAAAAGAACUGGGAUAGGUUUGGACAAAAAAGAAGACAGUGGAACUCAGCCAAAAUAAUAGAUAGGAUUGUUUUUCAGUAGCUUUAGAGACAAGUCAGUGCUACUGAAUUAGUGAAAAUGUGACUGACAUCUUUGUAUAGGUCAGGCUCAAUGAAAAUGAAAGAGAAGGUGG
ensembl:lncRNA